ACUCGGUGUCUUUCCCACGAAGCUCGGGGACGACCAUGCACACAGCGUGCUCCCCUUCCCGGGGGCCAGCACCGCAUUCCUGCUCUUGCCCUCGCAGUGGCCCUGGGGGACAGCCUGAUGGUGUCCCCACCUGAGCUCAGCGACACCAAGCAGUUUGCUGAAAGAUGCAGCGCCAACUCUGCCUUCAGAGCAGCAGGGACUUUUCACAACUCCGGAAAAGGGUUCCCAGCGACUCCAAGGCUGGAAGAUGAUGACUCCGUUCCCAGCCCCGCAGCCCACCAGCGUGGCAGUGGACAAGCCACCCAAGACCAUAGACGAGAAAGGCCACAGACCAUCGGGAAUGUCUCUUCGGCUCAAGAUAAUUUUCAGCAAAAUGGUCAGAAUACAAAGGGUCUGGGUAUCUUCCUGGUUGAUUGUGGAAGAUCAGCCUGGUCACAUGGGCGGCAGCCGAGCGAGGGACAGAGUCUGAGACACUCACCCCACGACGUGGAAGACACCUGGUGACCGUCUGGCAGAAGAAUAAGUCCACAAGGCAACCUCCUGAGUUCACUCUUCUUCAUGUGCACUUUCAAACCAAUCAGUAAAAAGAGGAUGUCAGGACAUCACUACAGAAA
rnacentral:lncRNA from 1 species